rnacentral:rRNA from 1 species
AUUGAACGCUAGCGGCAGGCCUAACACAUGCAAGUCGAACGAGUGGCGGACGGGUGAGUAAUAUCUGGGAAACUGCCUAAUGGAGGGGGAUAACUACUGGAAACGGUAGCUAAUACCGCAUACCAUCGGAUGUGCCCAGAUGGGAUUAGCUAGUAGGUGGGGUAAAGGCUCACCUAGGCGACGAUCCCUAGCUGGUUUGAGAGGAUGACCAGCCACACUGGAACUGAGACACGGCCCAGACUCCUACGGGAGGCAGCAGUGGGGAAUUUUGCACAAUGGGGGCAAGCCUGAUGCAGCCAUGCCGCGUGUAUGAAGAAGGCCUUCGGGUUGUAAAGUACUUUUAGCGGGGAGGCGUUACCUGCAGAAUAAGCACCGGCUAACUCCGUGCCAGCAGCCGCGGUAAUAC